UGAAUACGAGGCACUAAGGUGCUGAAGUAGUGUAUGUCAUACUUCCAAGAAAAGCUUGCACUAUCGUAAGAUAAAAAUGCCUGUACCAUAACCGACACAGGUGGGUAGGUAGAGUAUACUAAGGGGCGCGAGAUAACUCUCUCUAAGGAACUCGGCAAAAUAACUCCGUAACUUCGGGAGAAGGAGUGCCUUAUUCUAUAAGGUUGCAAUAACAAGAUCCAAGCAACUGUUUAUCAAAAACACAGGUCUCCGCUAAGUCGUAAGACGAUGUAUGGGGGCUGACGCCUGCCCAGUGCCAGAAGGUUAAAGAAGUCGGUUAGCAAUUGCGAAGCUGGUAACUGAAGCCCUGGUGAACGGCGGCCGUAACAAUAACGGUCCUAAGGUAGCGAAAUUCCUUGUCGGGUAAGUUCCGACCCGCACGAAAGGCGUAAUGAUUUGGAUACUGUCUCGGAGAGGGACUCGGUGAAAUAGACUUGUCUGUGAAGAUGCGGACUACCUGCACCAGGACAGAAAGACCCUAUGAAGCUUUACUGUAACUUGAAAUUGAAAUUGGACUUUAUUCGCGCAGUAUAGGUGGGAGGCGUUGAUUAUAAUCUUGUGGGAUUAUUGGAGCCAUUAGUGAGAUACCACUCUUGUAAUGUUAGAUUUCUAACUUUGAAUCAUGAUCUGGUCAAAGAACAGUUUCAGGCGGGCAGUUUGACUGGGGCGGUCGCCUCCUAAAUGGUAACGGAGGCGUACAAAGGUUUCCUCUGAACGGGUAGAAAUCGUAUCUAGAGUGUAAAGGCAUAAGGAAGCUUGACUGUGAGACCUACAAGUCGAGCAGGGACGAAAGUCGGUCUUAGUGAUCUGACGGUACUGAGUGGAAAGGCCGUCACUCAACGGAUAAAAGUUACUCUAGGAUAACAGGCUGAUCUCCCCCAAGAGUUCACAUCGACGGGGAGGUUUGGCACCUCGAUGUCGGCUCAUCGCAUCCUGGGGCGGUAGUACGUCCCAAGGGUUGGGCUGUUCGCCCAUGAAAGCGGUACGCGAGCUGGGUUCAGAACGUCGUGAGACAGUUCGGUCCAUAUCCGGUGUAGGCGUUAGAAUAUUGAGAGGAGCCUUCUUUAGUACGAGAGGACCGAGAAGGACAUACCUCUGGUGUACCAGUUAUCGUGCCAACGGUAAACGCUGGGUAGCUAUGUAUGGAGUGGAUAACCGCUGAAAGCAUCUAAGUGGGAAGCCCACCUCAAGAUAAGUAUUCCC
rnacentral:rRNA from 1 species